CCUUGUUUAGGCUUUAGAACAUAGUGGACCGAGUCCCAUUCCUGUUGGGGACUCCGGCGUCAGUUCGGAAAAAGCAGUUUCGCCUCUGCUACAAGACUAACCUGAAGAGUGACUCUAAGCAGGUUCCUGUGCCCCUCUGAGCCUCAGUUUCCCCUGUGUAAAACGAGGACAGUGGAAUGGAAGCUCUCCGAGGUCAUCAGCCUUGACAGCCCGGGUUCCAAGUUCAGAGUCGAGGCUUGUAGGAGGUGCCACAGCAGGUGGGGCGAUUCGAGCUCCGCAGCGUGUUCCAAGUUGCAGCUUGCAAGAAUCCAGGACUUGUGCGUCGGCGCCAGUGUGUGCCAGAGACCAACACGGCGCCCUUAGGCGCUUCUUGUUUAUCCAGUGUAAGAAAUGUAAAACAUUGUCUGCUACAUUAAAACAAACCAGGAUGCAUCAGGAGAUUCGGUGGAAAGUCACACCAAUUUUUAACAUAACACUGAUGACGUCAACUAAAUUGCAUGCCUCAGAAGUCUUUUUCAAGGGCCACCUGUCCACUCUUCUGUCUUUAGGGUACUUCAGUGAGAACUGUCGCUUGGGGCAAGUGUUUUAUUUAAUUGAAGCCUAACAGGUUUUGUUCAACAGAAACUUCUUUUGGAGAAGGAUGCUCUGGCGCCCUCUGGUGACUCUUCACAAGUAAGGCAUCACUCGCCUUAGAACGCCAGUGUUUCAACCUCUCACACCAAAUAAUCCAGUUUUUGCCUUUGAAUCCUGUGUUACCUGCUUCUGGAUUUUUGCUUUUACAGCUAACGCUGUGACUGCCAAGUAGCAGUUGUGAGAUUCCACGUUGAUAAUAUGGACUUCAGGCAGGUUCAGAGAGGAAGCACUAAUAAACUAACUUGGUGGAACUGCCAAGUCUUUGGUGUUGGCAAUGGUUGUCAGUCCUAACAGGGAAAGGCAGCCGUCGACCAGGACCCUCACAUUUUCUGUGCUGGCAGUCCAGGUGGCUCGCUCUCUGGAAUCCCCCUGCCCUUUCCUCUACCUCCCAUCUCCACAGCUCACACAGUAUAAACAGGCAUUCACUUCAUUUUGUGCUUCAUGUCCCAGCUCCUCACAGACUGGCUGCUCUUGGGGCCCUGGCAUGUACCCUCCUGCUCCUGGCGAGUGAGGGGCCAGACCCUGAUCCUUGUGCCUGGAAGUGUUGCCAGAAAUACCAAUAUUCUCCAGGGACCAACUGCAUCAGGAGCUUCUAAGACACUGCUUACUUCCAGACUCCUCCGGUCCAGCCCUGGACUUGCUGCAUUAGACUCUCCAAAGGCUGAGAUGGAAGAGUAGGCAGUCACAUCCUGACUGUCCAGGGGACCCACAAUGGACAAGUUUACUCACCCCUGGGAAGGGCGAACACCAAGGCCCUGAGCCAGGCUGCAGAGUCCUCUCCUCUAAGACCUGUUGGUGGAGCAAAGUCAUCUGUUGAAGCAUAAAACAUAAGACCCAUCCAUCCUUCCGAACAAUUUUCAGGGGAACUGGUCUCAUUUGCUAGGCAAGCACAGCAGGAGAGCGGCUAUCACUGAGAUC